ensembl:snRNA U4 U4 spliceosomal RNA
AGCUUUGCGCAGUGUGGCAUUAUCAUGGCCAAUGAGGUUUACCCAAGGUACGAUUAUUGCUAAUUGAAAAAAGUAAUAAUAAAAUGGUGAAUUUUAUCUUAGAAUUAAAAAAAAAAAUUAAAAGAACUUUGACUUUGGCAUCAGUUA